UUGAUAUAAUUUCGCGGGGCUCCUUGAUAUAAUCAAUUAACGGUGAUGGAUCACAAGCUGAUGCUCGGCGAGUACUGCGCCGACCUCUCGGACAUGCACAAGACGCGCCACUACUACCGCGCCACCUCGCUCUCGGAGGAGGAGAAACUCUACCUCCACCAAAUCGACGACUUCGCCACCGCCACCAUCGCCGAGUACGAGGCCAGCGUCGGCCCCGUCCCCGCCUUCGACAACCACCUCAGCCUGUUCAGCCAAGAAAUCCUACUGGAGUUCCCCGAACCCUUGGCUCCCCCUCCCGCUUCUUCGUCUUCGGCUUCGGCUUCGGCUUCUCACCACGAGCCUGCUGUGGACAAUGGAGGGGAUGUUGCAUGCUAAGAGAUGAUCACAAGUCCUGGAGCAUACCAUCCCUUUUCUUUCUUCACCCCCCUUUCAUUGGAGUCGGCUAUCAUGGUUCUAGGGGCUUUGUACCUAUUUUAAGCACGGCUGCAGUUUGACUGAUGGUGAUUAAUUUAAACUUGGAGCUGUGAGAUUGUUAGUACGGGUGUAGCUAUGAACGUGUUGGUUCUGAAGUGUGAUCAUGCUUGCAUUACUCUGUGCCUUGGUGAAUUACGAAUGCUAUCAUCACAUUGUUUCUAUUACUGGAUCAUGGCUGUUGGUGUGUUGAGAAUUGGUUGAAUGUCAGUUCAUAUGGAUGAUUAAUUUAAGCUGUCCACGGUUUCACCAAUUUCAAGUCUGUGUAGUACUUCGGGGCCAAGGUCGGUUUCGCGGCCCAACAUGCGUGGAAAGAGAACGAAAAGAGGCUCUGUUCGCAGCUGCAAGCUCCCAAAACAUACUCCUCGGAGGAAGGAAAUCUGGGAGCCUCUUUGCUGCCUGUGCGGCCGCCGCUCCUCCGGCUCCUUGCCGGCAUGCUGCGGGGAGAGCUCCCCGACCUUGCUGCGUUGGCCGUCACAGGCAGGAGCUCCCCGAUCCCCGCCCCUCCCCCACAGGCCCGCCUCAGCUCCAGCCCCGUCGAAUCGCCGCUCCGCUCCCCUGAGGCGAAGAGCCCGCUGUCCCUUGGGCGAGAUUCACCCACCUGCCUCUAUGGGAGAGCUUGAGCAGACGUACCUCGCUGCCGUCGAGGCCACCACGGCCGCCUGCAUGUGUGACGAGGAGGGGGAGGAUCUCCUGGUGGAGCUUGGCAGCAGGAGGGAGUCGGGAGGAGGAGAUCUCACAGAGCCGAUGGUUCCGAGUCCGCACUUAAUCACCGAUUCACCGGAUCUGCAGGUUCAAGAAAACAAGCAUGACAAACCUGUCCUCUGAUAGGCACUCUGUUCCUGUCUUACUUUAUCAGAAUCUCCUCCAUGAUACAUCCUCGACCAACAAUGAGGUUAAUCCAGUUUGCUGCUAGGUUCAUGUAGUAUGGUUUCUUACUCAGACUAGAGCUAUUCCCUGCUUUUAGAAAUCAGAUUCACGGUCCUUCAGAACACUUCUUCGAAUUCAUGAUGUUCAGGUGAGCAACAAGAGACUUGAUAGAUGGGCAAGUAGAAAACCUCUGCAUUACUGAUGUUUACCUUCUUCUGUAGUCCAAACGUCUUCCAGCUAAGGAACUAUAAUCACAUCUACAUCACAAUGGUUUCUCUCACAACUCCUGGACUCAAGAGCUGCAACAUCCAUUGAACAAAUCAAUAAUAAUCAGUAUGCUUUUACUGCACCAGUUUCAACCAGAUGCUGCUCAGAAUUGCAGGUCUAAACUAAGGAGGAGCUCAAGUAAGAAGAGAAGUGAAGGAGAAAGUAACCUGACGGAAAAUUACAUGAACAUUCAUACAUUUGAAUUGUGUGCAAUAUAUUGUUUUAUUUGCCUGGGUCGGAUGAAAUUCAAUUUUUCCUGCAACUUUGUUUCGCCUGUUAGAAUCCUCCACUAAUUGAAAUGCAGUCUAUUUACUGGUUAAGUACUCCUUUUUUUUUUAAUAUCCUAUUUAGGCUUUAGCUAUUGUGCAAUUAACAUUUUUUAUUGUCUUGGACUGAGCCAUGUCAAUUAUGAUUAUGAUGGGACUAACCAUCGACAACUGGCCUCAUGCGGGAGGUCAGGAGAGGGCAUGGUACUGACGGUGCUCUACAGUUCAUUAUUUUUGUUCCGAUUAAAAAACAGAAGUUCAUUCCUUUUGCUUUCUUUAUUUUUCACUCUCUAGAGGCAAGAUGGAUGGAUCAAGUAGUUAGAUGAUACCCAAGUAGUAGCGCAUGAGUGUUUUUAGUGUAUUUGUGCAAGCAUGGUGACGUUCCACUGGUGUUGAAGGCUCUAUUUCCCGAGUAGAUUAAGGUGCUUCGUACAUCAAUAGUUUAAUAAUUUAGACGAGGCGUUCCAUAUAUUUGUGCAAUCCAUGUGUAAAACAA